AUUCCCUUAGUAACGGCGAGUGAAGUGGGAAUAGCUCAAAUUUGAAAUCUCACUAUUUUAUAGUGCGAAUUGUAGUUUAGAGAAAUGUUUUCUGGGUUAACGAUUAGUACAAGUUCAUUGGAACAUGACAUCAUAGAGGGUGACAAUCCCGUCUUUGACUAAUUGUUUAAUUCUAUAUGAUACAUUUUCUAAGAGUCGGUUUGUUUGGGAAUGCAGACCAAAAUGGGUGGUAAAUACCAUCUAAAGCUAAAUAUUGGCGAGAGACCGAUAGCGAACAAGUACCGUGAGGGAAAGAUGAAAAGAACUUUGAAAAGAGAGUUAAAUAGUACGUGAAAUUGUCAAAAGGGAAACGUUUGAAACCAGUAUUGUGAGUAGAUAUUCAACUAUACUCUUAGUAUAGCUUAUUUAUCUAUUUACAAGUCAACAUCAGUUUGAUUUGAUGUAAAAAGUUAUAGAAAUGUAGCUCUAUUUAUAGGGUAUUAUAGUUUAUAAUUAUGCAUUGAAUUAGACUGAGGACUGCAGUGUUAUUUAGUGAUCCUUGUCGCCUAGGAAAUUUAUUAUAAAGAUUACUUGUAAAUUUUAUAUAUAAACGAAUAGUACGGCUUGGUAACAUACCAACACUUAGGAUGUUGACGAAAUGGUUUUAAGCGACCCGUCUUGAAACACGGACCAAGGAGUCUAACAGAUAUGCGAGUAUUUGGGUGGUAAACCCUUAUGCGUAGUGAAAGCGAAAAGGUGGGAUAGGUAAAACUUGCACCAUCGACCGCGCUAGAUUAUUACUAUCUCAGCGUGAGUAUGAGCAUAUUUGCUGGGACCCGAAAGAUGGUGAACUAUGCCUGAAUAGGGUGAAGUCAGAGGAAACUCUGAUGGAGGCUCGUAGCGGUUCUGACGUGCAAAUCGAUCGUCAAAUUUGGGUAUAGGGGCGAAAGACUAAUCGAACCAUCU
rnacentral:rRNA from 1 species